CGAGAGAUAGAGAAAGAGAGAGUGAGAGAGAGUGUGUGUGUGUACUGUGAAAUCUUUGAAAUAGUUCCUAAGAAGUGGUUUGAGAAGGGAGCAGAAUUCUGAGCCAUUGACUUACCAGAAAAUCACAGAGCUCAGAUCCAAAUCCCCCCAAAGCAUGGCUUGAACAUGGUAGUCAUCUGGGAUUGUUGAAGGGGCAUACUGGGCUAACAUGUUUCAAAAGAUCUCAUCUGGGUGAGGAAUUUUCUUUUCUCCGUACAUAGAAUAAAGCUUGACUUUAGAUUUUUUCAACUUUUGUGUGCAGUUAUUUUGAACCUCUUGUGUUUAUGAAAUAAAAUUUCACAUAAAAUAUAUUUUCUGAAACCAUUUAUUUAUGUUGGAAAAUGCUUACUAGAGAUACAAGUGCUGUCACUUGUUCCCUGGUCUUACACAGUAAUUCAACAGAAUUGCUUGUUUGGGGAUUCUUUCCUUUGUUUCCACUCUGGUGGAGGAAGGCACCAGAGAGUGAAAUCCUGUUGUCUGAUUGAUGAGAUUUUGUUCAGGCUGUGACAGUGCAUAACUCCUCUCAUUGCCCUAUCUGUUGACCCCCAGAGAGGCUGAGAAUAGCACAACCUUGUGACAUAAAAAGUUCUUCAUUUUUUUUUUUUUACUAUCACUGUUUACAACAAUAGGAACCAUCAGCAGCCAUGAUAGUGGAACAUGGAAUGUAUUUUUAAGCCAGAAAGUAAAGAGAAAAUUGGUGAGUUCAGGUUGCUUAAUGGGGCUAACAAAGCAAAUGCCAUUAGACUUGGCAGUUAUAGAAAACAUACUCUGUUUUCCCAAACCAAAAACUGAGCUUAUAACUAUAGCCCAUAAUCACCUUUUCAACAUUACUCACUGAUUGCAAGGGGAACCAGAGCAGACUUAGCUUGUUUAGCUUAAUGCUGUUCAACUUCCAUACUGGGAAAAAAUUGGAAGUUCAUUUUUCACUGAUGGACAUGAUGGCUUUUCUUUCUUUCUGAAGGACAGAGCAUUCAAGCACAAGUUAUAGGUUACCAACUGAAAAAUGUAAUGUUAGGCUUUAAGAAAACUUAAAAGUAAGUGAAAAGAUGAUAAUCUGAAUUAGUAGUUAUUCUUGUCUUUUUCAGGAAGACUAAUUCUGUAAGCAGUCUGGACUAAAUUGCAGACUUUAAAUGAUACUUUUACUAAAGGGGACCAGUAGAGCAGAAUUUUGGUUUAAUGAAUUUUCCCAUUUGUUUUAUAAAGUGAAUUAAGACAUGGAGUGGCACAAAUUUAGGGAUGAGGUAUUUUCUUGAUGGAGAAAAAAAUAAAGCCAUGUUUCCCCUUUGUCUGUUGUUUAGGUAUUUCUUAGUCUUUAUAAAAUCAUAAAGAUGUUAUUUGAAUUGUUUGAUUAAUUUAUUAAAGACAGAUUGUAUGUUUAACUUCAAAAUGUGAGUUAAAUCUGUUGGCUUCUUCACUAUUUUCUGAAUCAUAUCUGGUUAAUUAAAGACUAUAUAAGGUUGUUAUUUGAUAGGUUUUAAAACUAUAGACUAAUUAACCAUGAAAAAAAAGUGUAAUGGAAAACAAACUUUAAAGCAAGAGUCAAGAAAUACUAGGAGAAACUUGACCACUUUUUACUGAUGUUAAGUCCUAUCAUAAAGUUUAUAAAUUCUCAAGGGGAGUUUGUUUUGCAGAGAAUGUAUUAAGGAAAGUUCGAAGAUGACGAUUAUCAUUAUUAUUCUUACUAGUGCAUAGUUGGUUCAUAUCAGAACAAAUAAAUCUAGGGAGACCACUGGAAAACCCUGCUCAUUUUGAAUGUUACCACAUAGCUGAGACAAGCUCAGAACUUUAGCAGAGUUCAGCAGGAGGCUGAGACUGAAUGUGAUCCUACUAUAGCUAUUAGUGUGUUUGUUUGGCCCAUACUUUAUAUUAAAACAUAAGGUUCAUUUGAAUUCAUACAACAGCUUAUUGAACAAGACAAUCUGCUAUUUGAUGGAAAUCCCAUGUUUCAUGAUUUGUGACUGAAGUUUGGAGCCAAGUCUUUCUCUUGAGUCAUUAAUUUUGUAAAACAGAGAUCUGAAGUCCUUUAGGAAAAAUGUACCCAAGAUCAUUUAAGCAGUUGUGGCUUCCUGAGGAGUAGAAAAACCAAAUUAGUCUAUGUGGAAAUCACAGAAUUUCCCUUGUCACCAUCCAGUUUUCUUCCACUCCUCAAGCUAAAGAAAUGAACAGAAAACCUAAGUAGAAUGUAAAUGAAUAAACAGAUUUAUUCAUUUCAUACUGUAGGUAGACUUUCUUGAGCCCAGCUUAGAUAAAAUUCUUUUUAUGUAUGACCUUUCCUGGACCAUAGCACUUAUUAAGUAAAUAUCUUUUUGUCUCUCUUUUUUAGACAAUGAGCUAAAUGAGGGUAGCAACUGUGUUUUAGUCACCAUUCAUGUGUUCUUUCUUGUUCUGUUAAUUAAUAGAACAGG